rfam:Felis catus isolate Cinnamon breed Abyssinian chromosome B1, whole genome shotgun sequence.
GCCUGGGUGGCUCAGUCGGUCGAGCGUCUGACUUCGGCUCAGGUCAUGAUCUCACGGUUUGUGAGUUCGAGCCCCGCUUCGGGCU